AUUGAACGAUGGCGGCAGGCUUAACACAUGCAAGUCGAGCGAGCGGCGGACGGGUGAGUAAUGUCUGGGAAACUGCCUGAUGGAGGGGGAUAACUACUGGAAACGGUCGCUACUACCGCAUACCAUCAGAUGUGCCCAGAUGGGAUUGGCUAGUAGGUGGGGUAUUGGCUCACCUAGGCGACGAUCCCUAGCUGGUCUGAUAGGAUGACCAGUCAAACUGGAACUGGUACACGGUCCAGACGCCUGUGGGAGGCAGCGGUGGGGAAUAGUGCACACUGGGCGCAAGCCUGAUGCAGCCAUGCCGGUUGGUGGAAGAAGGCCUUCGGGUUGUAAAGCACUUUCAGCGAGGAUGCGUUACUCGCAGAAGAAGCACCGGCUAACUCCGUGCCAGCAGCCGCGGUAAUAC
rnacentral:rRNA from 1 species